AUCAGAAUUGGCUCUAGAAGCAGAGAAUGACCCACAGCCACCAGCCAGCAGGGAGCCCAGAUCUCAGAUCAGCAAGCACAGGAAUUGAAUUCUGCUAAAGACAUGAAUAAAUAUGGGUGCCCAUUCUUUCCCAGUGCCUCCAGUAAGAAACACAGCCUGAUAAGACCCAAGUGGAACUUUGAACCUGCAGAACAGUGGAAUGAUAAAUGAUCUUGAUUUAAGCCACUGUGUUUGUGGUGAUUGUAACAGCGUUAGAAACUAGCCCGGGGAGCAGGCUGCUCAUCUGUUUUCAAGACUGCAGCCUGGAGCACAGCCCCACUCUCAUGCGAAAACCUCAGUAGAAAGGUGCUCAUUGUUUAAGGAAAUAAAAACAUGCUUUGAGAAUGUACAGAAGUGGAAAGUCAACAAUUUUCUACGUAAAAUGAAAGCUGUCCUUAUUUCUCACAUAUAAUUAUCCCUCAGCCAGCCUGAUAUGUGAGGCACGGGUGAGCUGGAAGUUUUAUUUUGCUUAUGGUUUAAUUUGACUGGAUAAAAUGUACAGCAUAAAUCAGACAUUUGUGUAUAUCUCAGCACUUAGCUACUCAGUCCUUAAAUAGUGUGAAUCUUUUCAGGAUUUCUUUCCUUGGGAAAUGAUGAACGGCAAACUAAUAACUUCUAAAAGAGUCUAGAACGUGUUCAGGAUAGAGUGCCUCACUGAGGAUGAGUGUUUAAAGUAACAUUCUGGUUUCAUAUUUUAAAAAGAAAUCCAUGGUUCAGUGGAUUAAGAACCCGACUAGUACCCAUGAGGAUGCGGGUUUAAUCCCUGGCAUCACUCAGUGGGUUAAGGAUCUGGCAUUGCCACAAGCUGUGGUGUAGGUUGCAGAUGCAGCUUGGAUCUGCCAUUGCUGUGGCUGUAGUGUAGCCUGGCAGCUGCAGCUCUGAUUUGACCCCUAACCUGAGAACUUCCAUAUGCUGCAGUUGCGGUCCUAAAAAGAAAAAACAGUUAAAUAAAAAGAAAUCCAAGUCAGUGGAUUUAUAGGCAGUACAUAUACUUUUAUUCCCACCCUGGUCAUGCCUCUAGCUAACUGCUUCAUCAUAGUCAAAGCCACUACUGUUUCUGAGCCCCCAUCUCCUCUCUGUAAAGUGGUUUUGGACUGAGUAAUCUCUCUGUGACCUACUGCCAAGCAUCCCUUUAAACCUGCAGACACAUUAGAGGCUCAAGUGUUUGUAAUGAGCAAGAUGGAGCACUGGCCAACUUAAUGGUGCUCGUGGUGUUGUGGGAGAGAUGCUUCAUCAAAAGUAAUACCCAGAUAAAUAUAGAGUUAUUGUCAUGCUGAGUGCUAUGAGUCCAUAUAAUGAGCUGAAAUAUGGAAGGAGACCGUUAACUGGAUCAGUGGAUCAGGGUGGAGUCCUGCGUUCAUUGCACACAGAAGAUGCAACAAGGGCACAUAUCCUGGUACUGUGAGAAAAGGGGGCAUUGCUUUUGCCAGGUCAAGAGGACUCACUCUCUGUGACCAGAUGGACUGGGAAGAAUGUGGUGAUGUAGCAAAGGCCAGUCCAUGCUUACAAUGUGGUUCAUCUUAAAGUCACAGGUGAGACUUAAAAGGGUUUGUAAGCAGAGGAAUAUGGUGGCUCUCUCUCUGUGUCCUGGAAAAUGUCUCUGGCUCAUAAAGAAUGAAUGGUUUAGAUGCAAGAAGAGAGAGUUGAUCUACAAAUGCCUUUGAAGAGGUUAGUGGAGUGUUUUCUGUGCGAAACGUGGUUGCUUGGACUUGAGGAGUAGAAAUGGGGCCGGAAAUGUUGGCAAGGCAAAGGGAAUGGAAAAAAAAAAAUGAAAGGAUAAAAUCAGCCAGCACAGGGGAUGGUGGUAUGUGGAGUUUGAGGAAAAGGGUGUUGAAUCCAACAGAAGAGUUUCUAUGCAAAGAGAGAGCUUCUGUGCAGUUUUUGCAUUCUGGAGUAAGCAGUUGUUAUUUUUAAAAUCUUUAUCAUAAAAAUUCAUAAUUUGAAGAGAGGAGUAGAAAUUGAGUGGGAAAGACAGUUUAUUCUUUAAGAGGACAUAGUAAAUCACAAGGGGAUGUACUUGUUAAACGAUAGAAAAUGUUGACUGCGAUUAUUGUGAAUUUCAAGUAUUGAAAGAAAGCCUAAGGUGUCACCAGGCUAUACUGAAGUUCCCCAGAGUAAAAACAUAUUUUGCUUCCAGAUCUUCUGGGAAAUGAACUGUGUGGUUGGACGCACCCAUCCAGUCCAUUAACCUUCCCAGGCCCCAGUUUUUUCUUUCAAGUGGGACUUUAGAUUAUAAAUCCUCUUAGGACUCUUGUAGAUUUACAGUUUUUAAUGGGCAAUGUAGAUAGUGGCAAAUAGCUCUUUGGAUAGCUAGGUAUUUUUAUUUACAAAGAAAAUAUUCUAAAUGUUAAUAUAUAAUCUUUCAAAUAUUAAUUCAUAGACAGUUAUGUUUUAUAAAAGAUCUUCAGACAGUAAAGUGUCACAAAAUUGUAACUCAAUACAAUUUAACCCAAAAUGCUGAGUAGUAAGAUUGUGUUUUGAUGUUCUUUAUGAAUAAUUUUCUCAUUUAAUAAAAAUACCUCAUAUUUAAUAGUAUAUGCAGUAAAUUGUAAUAAUAGUAGCUUACUAGUCGUACUGAAAAAGGUGCCUUCAGGUAAAAUUUUGGCACUUGGAACGUGAGCCAGCCACCUUUUCAAGUGCUUUAUAUGCAUCAUUUCAUUUCAUCGUGUCUAUAAACCCAUGAGGUGUGCAAUGUUAACUAUUCACAACUUACUACUGAUGCUAAAACCAAGAGAGGUGAGGGGAAUGGUCUAGAUCAUAGAACACGUUGAUUCUGAACCAAAUCUGUCCAACCUCAGAACCCAAUUUGUGAACAAUUUUGUCUCAUAAUCUCUAAAAUACAGAACCUGUAACGGCUUUGGUGGUAUUAUAAUAAUCUUAUUAUAGGCAUCAGCCUUUUUCUGCACGUGAAAUAACAACAUAGCCACAAAUCAACUUAUUUACCUAAUUUGGGGAUAGGAAGUGAGACAUCAAGAACGUAUGUUGGGGAGUUCCUGUUGUGGCUCAGCUGGAAAUCAAAAGAAAUCAAAACAUGAGGAUGCAGGUUCAAUCCCUGGCCUUGUUCAGUGGGUUAAGGAUCUGAUGUUGCUGCAAGUUGUGGCACACAUAGGUCGAAGAUGUGGCUUGGAUCCCAUGUUGCUGUGGUUGUGGUGCAGUCUGACAGCUGCAGCUCUGGUUUGAACCCUAGCCCAGGAAUUUCCAUAUGCACAGGUGCAAU
rnacentral:lncRNA from 1 species